rfam:Cucumis sativus cultivar 9930 chromosome 3, whole genome shotgun sequence.
AGUUUACUUUGAUAUUGGCCCGGUUCACUCAGAUAAAUAUGGUAUUAGAUACGUAUUCAUCAUUUACGAUAUAUUUGAUUGAGCCGUGCCAAUAUCUCAGUAUACUCU